rfam:Rattus norvegicus chromosome X, whole genome shotgun sequence.
GGGGAUUUGGCUCAGUGGUAGAGCGCUUGCCUAGGAAGCGCAAGGCCCUGGGUUCGGUUCCCAGCUCCG